rnacentral:rRNA from 1 species
UACGUAGGGUGCGAGCGUUGUCCGGAAUUAUUGGGCGUAAAGGGCUCGUAGGCGGUUUGUCGCGUCGGGAGUGAAAACACCGGGCUUAACUCGGUGCUUGCUUUCGAUACGGGCAGACUAGAGGCAUGCAGGGGAGAACGGAAUUCCUGGUGUAGCGGUGAAAUGCGCAGAUAUCAGGAGGAACACCGGUGGCGAAGGCGGUUCUCUGGGCAUGUCCUGACGCUGAGGAGCGAAAGGGUGGGGAGCGAACAGG